rnacentral:rRNA from 1 species
GACGUAGGGCGCGAGCGUUGUCCGGAAUUAUUGGGCGUAAAGAGCUCGUAGGCGGUUUGUCGCGUCUGCUGUGAAAACCCGAGGCUCAACCUCGGGCCUGCAGUGGGUACGGGGCAGACUAGAGUGCGGUAGGGGAGAUUGGAAUUCCUGGUGUAGCGGUGGAAUGCGCAGAUAUCAGGAGGAACACCAAUGGCGAAGGCAGAUCUCUGGGCCGUAACUGACGCUGAGGAGCGAAAGCAUGGGGAGCGAACAGG